UACGAAGGGGGCUAGCGUUGUUCGGAAUUACUGGACGUAAAGCGCACGUAGGCGGGUUUGUAAGUAGGGGGUGAAAUCCCUGGGCUCAACCCCGGAACUGCCUUUGAUACUGGCAUUCUCGAGUCCGGAAGAGGUGAGUGGAAUUCCGAGUGUAGAGGUGAAAUUCGUAGAUAUUCGGAGGAACACCAGUGGCGAAGGCGGCUCACUGGUCCGGUACUGACGCUGAGGUGCGAAAGCGUGGGGAGCAAACAGG
rnacentral:rRNA from 1 species